GAAUAAAACUAUAUUCGAGGGUACUCAAGUGACGUUUCCGAACGCAACCUUAAGCGGCGUUUCGCGCUUAAAUGGCGGUGGAACGUGCGAUUAUCGCGAGAUUACGUCAAGAAGCACAAUAUCACGUGGCAUAACGCUGGAGAUAACAAGACGUAGUAUCGGCGAGAUUGUGAAAUAUCUCUGGCUGACAGUGAGUUACAAGAUUCGCGGCGUUCGGUGCGAAUGCACCGGGACAUCGGUGCACGUGCACCGAGCGCGUUAUCGAACGUGCUUGCUUCCGAGCGUACGGGAUGAACGGGUAACAGUUGGUGCAGGUGCACCAAGUGUACGGAAAUGAGAAUUAUAUAGGUAGGUUCUCGUAUCACAGCUUUGGCACGAGACACUAAGAGUAUCGCAAUAUCAAAUACAGAUAUUUGUAACGUUUCGUGUGUGAGAGGAUAAAAAGUAAUAAUAAAAGAUGGUAAAAAAGUC